rnacentral:rRNA from 1 species
GCNCGUUACGAUUCGCCCUUGAGUUUGAUCAUGGCUCAGGAUGAACGCUGGCGGCAUGCCUAAUACAUGCAAGUCGAACGAAGAAAUGUUUGCUUGAAGGUGCUUGCACCGGAUAGUUGCUUUUCUUAGUGGCGAACGGGUGAGUAACACGUAGGUAACCUGCCUAGUAGUUGGGAAUAACAAUGGGAAACCGUUGCUAAUACCGAAUAUGAAUUCGAAGGGCAUCCUUUGAAUUUGAAAGGGGCUUUCAAGCCUCGCUAUUAGAUGGACCUGCGGCGCAUUAGCUAGUUGGUGAGAUAACAGCUCACCAAGGCGAGGAUGCGUAGCCGACCUGAGAGGGUGAUCGGCCACAAUGGGACUGAGACACGGCCCAUACUCCUACGGGAGGCAGCAGUAGGGAGUUUUCGGCAAUGGGGGGAACCCUGACCGAGCAAUGCCGCGUGAGCUAUGAAGGUCUUAUGGAUCGUAAGGCUCUGUUGUAGGGGAUGAAACGUCUAGGGAGGAAAUGUCCUAGACUUGACAGUAUCUUACCAGAAAGCCACGGCUAACUACGUGCCAGCAGCCGCGGUAAUACGUAGGUGGCAAGCGUUAUCCGGAGUUAUUGGGCGUAAAGCGUGAGCAGGCGGCCGUUUAAGUUUGAAGUCAAAUCCAGGGGCUUAACCCUUGUUCGCUUUAAAAACUGAAUGGCUAGAGUACGAGAGAGGUAUGCGGAAUUCCAAGUGUAGCGGUGAAAUGCGUAGAUAUUUGGAGGAACACCAGUGGCGAAGGCGGCAUACUAGAUCGAUACUGACGCUCAGUCACGAAAGCGUGGGGAGCAAAUAGGAUUAGAUACCCUAGUAGUCCACG